rnacentral:pre_miRNA from 15 species
GUUUACUUCUAGCAACAGUAUCCUGAUGCUGUCAGAGUAAGUGGUAAAGCUCCAGCAUCAGUGAUUUUGUUGUUAGUGGUA